CCUACGGGGGGCAGCAGUGAGGAAUAUUGGUCAAUGGACGAGAGUCUGAACCAGCCAAGUAGCGUGAAGGAUGACUGCCCUAUGGGUUGUAAACUUCUUUUAUAUGGGAAUAAAAUGUUCCACGUGUGGGAUUUUGUAUGUACCAUAUGAAUAAGGAUCGGCUAACUCCGUGCCAGACGCCGCGGUAAUACGGAGGAUCCGAGCGUUAUCCGGUUUUAUUGGGUUUAAAGGGAGCGUAGGUGGAUUGUUAAGUCAGUUGUGAAAGUUUGCGGCUCAACCGUAAAAUUGCAGUUGAAACGGGCAGUCUUGAGUACAGUAGAGGUGGGCGGAAUUCGUGGUGUAGCGGUGAAAUGCUUAGAUAUCACGAAGAACUCCGAUUGCGAAGGCAGUUCACUGGACUGCAACUGACACUGAGGCUCGAAAGUGUGGGUAUCAAACAGGAUUAGAUACCCGUGUAGUC
rnacentral:rRNA from 1 species